rnacentral:rRNA from 1 species
UACGUAGGGUGCAAGCGUUAAUCGGAAUUACUGGGCGUAAAGCGUGCGCAGGCGGCUUUGCAAGACAGCUGUGAAAUCCCCGGGCUUAACCUGGGAACUGCGUUUGAAACUGGGAGACUUGAGUGUGGCAGAGGGGGGUGGAAUUCCACGUGUAGCAGUGAAAUGCGUAGAUAUGUGGAGGAACACCAAUGGCGAAGGCAGCCCCCUGGGUCAACACUGACGCUCAUGCACGAAAGCGUGGGGAGCAAACAGG